UACGGAGGGGGCUAGCGUUGUUCGGAAUUACUGGGCGUAAAGCGCGCGUAGGCGGACCUGCAAGUCGGGGGUGAAAGCCCGAGGCUCAACCUCGGAACUGCCUUCGAUACUGCGGGUCUCGAGUCCGGGAGAGGUGAGUGGAAUUCCUAGUGUAGAGGUGAAAUUCGUAGAUAUUAGGAAGAACACCAGUGGCGAAGGCGGCGUCACUGGCCCGGU
rnacentral:rRNA from 1 species